rnacentral:rRNA from 1 species
GCUCCAGACUCCUACGGGAGGCAGCAGUGGGGAAUAUUGCGCAAUGGGCGAAAGCCUGACGCAGCGACGCCGCGUGAGGGAUGAAGGUCUUCGGAUCGUAAACCUCUGUCAGCAGGGAAGAACGGUCACUGUGCUAAUCAGCAGUGAACUGACGGUACCUGCAAAGGAAGCCCCGGCUAACUACGUGCCAGCAGCCGCGGUAAUACGUAGGGGGCAAGCGUUAUCCGGAUUUACUGGGUGUAAAGGGAGCGCAGACGGCAGUGCAAGUCUGGAGUGAAAGCCCGGGGCCCAACCCCGGAACUGCUCUGGAAACUGUGCGGCUAGAGUACUGGAGGGGCAGGCGGAAUUCCUAGUGUAGCGGUGAAAUGCGUAGAUAUUAGGAGGAACACCAGUGGCGAAGGCGGCCUGCUGGACAGUAACUGACGUUGAGGCUCGAAAGCGUGGGGAGCAAACAGGAUUAGAUACCCUGGUA